rnacentral:rRNA from 1 species
UGAAGCGGCAACAGCUCGAAUUUGAAAUCUGGCCUCGGCCCGAGUUGUAAUCUGUAGAGGACGCUUUUGGCGAGGUGCCUUCCGAGUUCCCUGGAACGGGACGCCACAGAGGGUGAGAGCCCCGUAAGGUCGGACACUAAGCCUCUGUAAAGCUCCUUCGACGAGUCGAGUAGCUUGGGAAUGCUGCUCUAAGCGGGAGGUAAACUUCUUCUAAAGCUAAAUACUGGCCAGAGACCGAUAGCGCACAAGUAGAGUGAUCGAAAGAUGAAAAGCACUUUGAAAAGAGGGUUAAAUAGUACGUGAAAUUGUUGAAAGGGAAGCGCUCAUGACCAGACUUGCGCCUGGCGGAUCAUCCGGUGGUCUCCACCGGUGCACUCCGCCUGGCGCAGGCCAGCGUCGGCUGUUGCGGGGGGACAAAAGCUCUGGGAACGUAGCUCUCUCCGGGGAGUGUUAUAGCCCUCUGCAGAAUACC